rnacentral:rRNA from 1 species
UACGAAGGGUGCAAGCGUUACUCGGAAUUACUGGGCGUAAAGCGUGCGUAGGUGGUUUGUUAAGUUCUGUUGUGAAAGCCCCGGGCUCAACCUGGGAAUGGCAAUGGAUACUGGCAAGCUAGAGUGCGGUAGAGGGUAGUGGAAUUCCCGGUGUAGCGGUGAAAUGCGUAGAGAUCGGGAGGAACACCAGUGGCGAAGGCGGCU